rnacentral:rRNA from 1 species
UACGUAGGGUGCGAGCGUUAAUCGGAAUUACUGGGCGUAAAGCGUGCGCAGGCGGUUCGUUGUGUCGGUGGUGAAAGCCCCGGGCUUAACCUGGGAAUGGCCAUGGAAACUGGCGAACUGGAGUGUGGCAGAGGGGGGUGGAAUUCCGCGUGUAGCAGUGAAACGCGUAGAGAUGCGGAGGAACACCGAUGGCGAAGGCAGCCCCCUGGGCUAGCACUGACACUGAGGCACGAAAGCGUGGGGAGCAAACAGG